GCUCAGAUUGAACGCUGGCGGCAGGCCUAACACAUGCAAGUCGAGCGGCAGCACGGGUACUUGUACCUGGUGGCGAGCGGCGGACGGGUGAGUAAUGCCUAGGAAUCUGCCUGGUAGUGGGGGAUAACGUUCGGAAACGAACGCUAAUACCGCAUACGUCCUACGGGAGAAAGCAGGGGACCUUCGGGCCUUGCGCUAUCAGAUGAGCCUAGGUCGGAUUAGCUAGUUGGUGAGGUAAUGGCUCACCAAGGCGACGAUCCGUAACUGGUCUGAGAGGAUGAUCAGUCACACUGGAACUGAGACACGGUCCAGACUCCUACGGGAGGCAGCAGUGGGGAAUAUUGGACAAUGGGCGAAAGCCUGAUCCAGCCAUGCCGCGUGUGUGAAGAAGGUCUUCGGAUUGUAAAGCACUUUAAGUUGGGAGGAAGGGCAGUUACCUAAUACGUAAUUGUUUUGACGUUACCGACAGAAUAAGCACCGGCUAACUCUGUGCCAGCAGCCGCGGUAAUACAGAGGGUGCAAGCGUUAAUCGGAAUUACUGGGCGUAAAGCGCGCGUAGGUGGUUCGUUAAGUUGGAUGUGAAAUCCCCGGGCUCAACCUGGGAACUGCAUUCAAAACUGUCGAGCUAGAGUAUGGUAGAGGGUGGUGGAAUUUCCUGUGUAGCGGUGAAAUGCGUAGAUAUAGGAAGGAACACCAGUGGCGAAGGCGACCACCUG
rnacentral:rRNA from 1 species